GGGGACAUACCUGGGUAGUUUCUUCUCACUGGAUCCAACAAGUUUUCGCCACAUGAAGGAUAGCCAUUUGAGUCUCAUAAUGUUACAGACAUCAGUUUCAGAAUAAUCUGUUGAAGGAGCCAUGAUAUGAGGUUGAGUUUUCUUUUUCCUUGAAAAUUGGUUCUCUGUAUAUACGUCUAACCCAGAUUCUUGGUAGCAUAUACUUACAUAUAACAACCUGCAAAACAAAAGGAACCUUCAAUUCUGUUAGUAAUUAGCUAAAGGUAUGGCUUGGUGUUUCAACAAGUUGAACUGUGAUUUGAUUUAUACAGUAUCAAGAUUGUCUUGAUUUGGUAGUAAAUGCUAGGUCUUGAGGCUCUUCUGUCAUGCUUGGCCUUCCUUUAAAACUUUAGAAUGAUGUAAUCAGUACCUUGCUACGUACUGUUUAUGUCCCAAUGUUAGUUUCAUAUAUUUAUCACAAAGCAAGUGUUGUGUAUAUUGCUGCCAAAUUUUGGCCAAAUUCCAUUUUACUACCAUCUAGGUAAAAAAAUGUUGGGUCUACAACUCCAAGUAAUAUUCUGUUUGGUAACAUUAGCAGUUAGUGAUUGUGGAAAAAUUAAUCUGGUUAGCAUGUGAUUUAUACAAGGCUUUAGUGUCAUGUCUAUAUUUGUUGUUUGAAUUAUUGAAAAAUAACCAAAAAAAAAAGAGUACCUUUCUCCCUGUAGCUAGGAUAUAAUCUAGAUCAUACCACCAGAUAUGAUCCUUUUUUAAUUGAAACAGUAAUCUAUUGUUCGAUCUUGCAUUGUUCUUAGUAGGUAUCAGUAGCUCUUGGUGAUGAAGAUGAGCAGAGCUGUGACAAGGUGCAUUGUCAUGUUGAAUUGAAGAUAGUAAGAAAUCAUGCAGGAGAUGAUCCUUUAGAUCAUUUACUCAUGAAAGGGUUUCCAGGUGCUAUGUUCGGAAGUUGUUAUAUUGUGAGCAUGGAGUGGGCUUCUUGAGAUUCAUUAGCUAGCAUGUAAGGUUCCUGUCUUUACUAUGUAUGUCUACAGGGAGAUCACCAACAUGUGAGUAUACGGUGCUUUAUUCCUUUGUUCUUUUCCUUUUUAUUCCUAUGGCUAUCUGUUGAGGAUUAAGACAACUAACAGGCAACAGAAAACACUUGAAUUAUAGACUCUUCAAUUUGUUUUUAAAGCACCCAUGCCCCCCAUCUAUAUCUAGAUUCUAGACAUGUUCAUACAUGGUAAUGAGAAUAUAACCCUUUUAGAGUCCUCCAAAUACAUAGGAAUACUUUUUAAAAACCCAUAUCCAAACUCACACCCGAGUUCGAGUAACGUAGCUUGAAAAACUGCAUGAACAUAUUUACUUGCAAUAAGAUACAAAGGUAUAAAUGAAUGGAGUUCUCUUUAUACAGGAUGUAGACAUGUAGUUAUGUUUUUAGUUGCAUACACCAAAGAUAAAGUGUUGGUCACAUGUUUACUAUGAAACAGUAAGUUAGGCGAAACAUAUACCAGCAUUGCUUGUAAACUGUUUUCUCUGCUCUCUUAUCCUAUAUGUUAGAACGUGGAAGUGUAGUUUGUUUGAAUGGGAAGUGUUUCUCCUUAUCGACAUGUCUUAUAUCUGUCUCUACGUUUGGUUGCCUGUCAUAAAUAAUGCAAAUGAUUACACCCUUGUUUGGAGAAUGUAAUUGCAACCAUUUCUUUUAAUUACAUCGGCCUUCACAACAAAUCUUUGAGUAUUUUGUAUGUACAAACAUAUGAGCCUGAGAUGUUAAAAGAGUCUGAAGUUUUUUGGAUACAAUACAAGAAAAUAAUCAAAUGUAUUUUGCUCUUAAACUGUACUUAUUUUCUCAGUUUGGUAUUUAAAUUUUCUUCUCCCAUUUUUGUAUAUCAUUUUUUAUGCAAAAAGUUGGUGUUAAAAAAAAUAGGUGGC
rnacentral:lncRNA from 1 species